CCGAAUGUGUGCAUCCUUCAUGACAGACAUGCAGGUAUACUCAGUGCGAUAAGGACACUGACAAACCCAGGCCCUGAGGAACAAGUUCCAUGGCAGGACUUGCAGAGCCGUUGGUGCAUGCGCCAUCUCGGGGCUAAUUUCUUCUCGCAGUUUAGAAAUAAGAACCUGAUGAAUCUGUUCAAAAAACUCUGCAAGCAGAACCAGUUAUGGAAGUACAAUUUGAUACGCGACAGACUUAAUGUGUGCACGCAGAGACACGUGAGGGACAGGAAAGCUGCAAGAGAUGCAGCGGUGAGGGCACAUGUUGAAGCAGUAGCUGCACAGUUGGCAACAGGAACAGCGGCCGUG
rnacentral:rRNA from 1 species